CCUUAGAUUACUGAGUAUGGGAGUUGGACGCCCAUACAUGAUUUCAAAGGGAGACAGACCCAUUCUUCUGGUAGGAGUACUACGUAUCCGCAACAGAGCUAUUGGCAAAAGGGCAUUCCACUUGAGCUGAGUUUCCUGACACAUUUUAGCCAAUUGGGUUUUUAUUGUUCUGUUCAUCCUAUCCACCUUUCCAGAACUCUGAGGUCUAUAUGCU